rnacentral:rRNA from 1 species
UACGUAGGGUGCGAGCGUUGUCCGGAUUUAUUGGGCGUAAAGCGCUCGUAGGCGGUUUGGUAAGUCCGCUGUGAAAGUCCAGGGCUCAACCCUGGAAUGCCGGUGGAAACUGUCAAGCUUGAGUCCGGAAGAGGCGAGUGGAAUUCCUGGUGUAGCGGUGAAAUGCGCAGAUAUCAGGAGGAACACCAAUGGCGAAGGCAGCUCGCUGGGACGGUACUGACGCUGAGACGCGAAAGCGUGGGGAGCAAACAGG